AACGAACGCUGGCGGCAUGCCUAACACAUGCAAGUCGAACGAGACCUUCGGGCUUAGUGGCGCACGGGUGCGUAACGCGUGGGAACCUGCCCUUAGGUUCGGAAUAACUCCCCGAAAGGGGUGCUAAUACCGGAUAAUGUCUUCGGACCAAAGAUUUAUCGCCUUUGGAUGGGCCCGCGUUGGAUUAGCUAGUUGGUAGGGUAAAAGCCUACCAAGGCGACGAUCCAUAGCUGGUCUGAGAGGAUGAUCAGCCACACUGGGACUGAGACACGGCCCAGACUGCUACGGGAGGCAGCAGUGGGGAAUAUUGGACACUGGGCGAUAGCCUGAUCCAGCAAUGCCGGGUAAGUGAUGAAGGCCGUAGGGUUGUAAAGCUCUUUUACCCGGGAUGAUAAUGACAGUACCGGGAGAAUAAGCACCGGCUAACUCCGUG
rnacentral:rRNA from 1 species